rnacentral:rRNA from 1 species
GAUGAACGCUGGCGGCGUGCCUAAUACAUGCAAGUCGAGCGAACGGACGAGAAGCUUGCUUUUCUGAUGUUAGCGGCGGACGGGUGAGUAACACGUGGAUAACCUACCUAUAAGACUGGGAUAACUUCGGGAAACCGGAGCUAAUACCGGAUAAUAUUUUGAACCGCAUGGUUCAAAAGUGAAAGACGGUCUUGCUGUCACUUAUAGAUGGAUCCGCGCUGCAUUAGCUAGUUGGUAAGGUAACGGCUUACCAAGGCAACGAUGCAUAGCCGACCUGAGAGGGUGAUCGGCCACACUGGAACUGAGACACGGUCCAGACUCCUACGGGAGGCAGCAGUAGGGAAUCUUCCGCAAUGGGCGAAAGCCUGACGGAGCAACGCCGCGUGAGUGAUGAAGGUCUUCGGAUCGUAAAACUCUGUUAUUAGGGAAGAACAUAUGUGUAAGUAACUGUGCACAUCUUGACGGUACCUAAUCAGAAAGCCACGGCUAACUACGUGCCAGCAGCCGCGGUAAUACGUAGGUGGCAAGCGUUAUCCGGAAUUAUUGGGCGUAAAGCGCGCGUAGGCGGUUUUUUAAGUCUGAUGUGAAAGCCCACGGCUCAACCGUGGAGGGUCAUUGGAAACUGGAAAACUUGAGUGCAGAAGAGGAAAGUGGAAUUCCAUGUGUAGCGGUGAAAUGCGCAGAGAUGUGGAGGAACACCAGUGGCGAAGGCGACUUUCUGGUCUGUAACUGACGCUGAUGUGCGAAAGCGUGGGGAUCAAACAGGAUUAGAUACCCUGGUAGUCCACGCCGUAAACGAUGAGUGCUAAGUGUUAGGGGGUUUCCGCCCCUUAGUGCUGCAGCUAACGCAUUAAGCACUCCGCCUGGGGAGUACGACCGCAAGGUUGAAACUCAAAGGAAUUGACGGGGGCCCGCACAAGCGGUGGAGCAUGUGGUUUAAUUCGAAGCAACGCGAAGAACCUUACCAAAUCCUGACAUCCUUUGACAACUCUAGAGAUAGAGCCUUCCCCUUCGGGGGACAAAGUGACAGGUGGUGCAUGGUUGUCGUCAGCUCGUGUCGUGAGAUGUUGGGUUAAGUCCCGCAACGAGCGCAACCCUUAAGCUUAGUUGCCAUCAUUAAGUUGGGCACUCUAAGUUGACUGCCGGUGACAAACCGGAGGAAGGUGGGGAUGACGUCAAAUCAUCAUGCCCCUUAUGAUUUGGGCUACACACGUGCUACAAUGGACAAUACAAAGGGCAGCGAAACCGCGAGGUCAAGCAAAUCCCAUAAAGUUGUUCUCAGUUCGGAUUGUAGUCUGCAACUCGACUACAUGAAGCUGGAAUCGCUAGUAAUCGUAGAUCAGCAUGCUACGGUGAAUACGUUCCCGGGUCU